GAACAUCCAAAUUAUCCAAAUAUGAAGGUGGCUCUGAUACCAAUUGUUAGAAUAAUGAUUCCGACUAAAAUACAAUAUCCUUCAUAUCGAAUAAUUUAGGACAACAACAACAACAACAACAACAACAUGAGCGGAAGCGUACCUGAAUCCAUUUGUGGAUAUUCUUAGUCCUCCUUAUGAAGAUUGUCCUAAGUGUUUGCAAGCUCCUUGAUCCUUACUUCAAGAUUGUCUUGAAGUAUUAUACAAGAAUAUAACACAAGAACCAAAAUUGGAGA
rnacentral:lncRNA from 1 species